rnacentral:rRNA from 1 species
GUGCCAGCCGCCGCGGGAAUUCCAGCUCCAAUAGCGUAUAUUAAAGUUGUCGCGGUUAAAAAGCUCGUAGUUGAACCUUGGGCCUGGCUGGCCGGUCCGCCUCACCGCGUGCACUGGUCCGGCCGGGCCUUUCCCUCUGUGGAACCCCAUACCCUUCACUGGGCGGGGGGGGGAAACAGGACAUUUACUUUGAAAAAAUUAGAGUGCUCCAGGCAGGCCUAUGCUCGAAUACAUUAGCAUGGAAUAAUAAAAUAGGACGCGCGGUUCUAUUCUGUUGGUUUAUAGGACCGCCCGUAAUGAUUAAUAGGGACAGACGGGGGCAUCAGUAUUCAACUGUCAGAGGUGAAAUUCUUGGAACAGUUGAAGACUAACUACUGCGAAAGAAUUUGCCAAGGAUUGUUUUCAUUUAUUCAGGAACGAAGUUAAGGGGGAUCGAAGACGAUCAGAUACCGUCGCAGUCUUUAA